AUUUCAUGGCUCUUCUUUUUUAUUGGGAUACCGAGUCCGCACAGGAUAAAUCUAAGAAGGGCUCGACGAACCGACAUAGCAAGCGCAAGCUUGACCACCACUUGGGAUCGAUGUCCUUUGCCAACCUUGAGUAUAGAUAUUGUCGAGACACGGGGAAGCCGAUAAUGCCGAUCAAUUUGAAGGCAAAGUUAGCUUACGGC